GCCUGGCGCUGGCCGGCGCGCAACCUGCUGCUGCUGCCGGGUGCCACCAGGCUGGCGGACGUACCCUCGACGCGUUGGCCCAACUGCUACGGCGCGCGCCCGCACCUCAUGUGGAAGCACCGGUGGCAGAAUAUUAACUACCAAUAUCUGGGCAAGAGGAAGAGACAUCUAGUUCCCCUGCGCCCGUGAGAGCCGGGGGCCCAGGUUCGAUCCCUGGUCAGGGAACUAGAUCCCACAUGCAUGCUGCAACUAAGAAACACA